UCUUCCCAUCAUAAUUAAAUCUCUAAUUCUUCAACAACAACAAUAAUAAUAUAUCUUUGAUUGAUUUUGGGUGAAGUAUGGAAGAAUUUAUUUAGGGUUCAUCAUAAAAUAGUUGGGGAUUUCAAGUGUAGCUAGUAUCUAUAGUUAAUUCAAGUGAAGGUUUUGAGUUCGAGUUAUCUUAAGGAUUAUUUGCAAGUUCUCGUUAAUAAGGUUCAAGUGGAUCAAAGGAUAAAUCCAAGUUGGAGUAAUUAGCUAGAGAUUUUGAGGUGAAGGUUCAAGUGGAUCAAAGGAUAAAUCCAAGUUGGAGUAAUUAGCUAGAGAUUUUGAGGUGAAAGUAGUGU